rnacentral:lncRNA from 1 species
CCAAGAGCCGCCUAGAGCCGAAGUCCUGUUAGUCGCCUCUGACUGGGUACCAACCCCCUAUUACUCUGCAGGCGCGUGAAGGAGAAGGAAACUCGCUGGGACCGUGCAGGUUGGUGGAAGCUGCUUGGAAGGCGAUGUGGGUGGGAGAGGGCCAAGAGCACCUCGCAUCCAAGUUUGGCGAAUAUGGGCUAUGUCCCUUUCUCACCUACUUUUUAAAUAUCUACUGGACCCGCAUCUCACCCUCGGUUCUUUUAGUAGGGAGAAGUGGCAGGCUUCAGGUUGGGGUGAGGUGGGUGAACUGCGAUUGCACAAAAUCCAAGCAAAGAAAGAACCGCCGAUCCAGGCAUCGCGUCCCGGGUGCUGGUCUGUCCCCCAAGCACUCCGUGCCGUCGGUCCCCUGUCUGUUAUAGGUCUCCGCUGGAGCCUAGACUUGAGAAGAAGCAACCCGCCUUGGUUGGAACCUUGCUGCAGGUUUGAAGGUGGGAUUCAUCCUGAUCCUAAAGUCUGACAUCGCUUUUCGAUUGUCCUUCUGCCAGACUCGGUCCACCUAUCUCCGUGGAGGGAAUACAGCAGAAGCCACCAGAAGAAAAAAGGAAUUCAAUUGGUUUUUGUAGAGGUUAGUUAGAAAACAUGCAGUGUUCUGGGGGUGGGUAGGAGGAGGAGAGAAAGGAGGCGGUGGUAAAGAAGCCUACAUGAGGGUUAUCUGUUCCUUUCACCUGCCUACCUAUCAAGUGAGAGCCUCAUCUACUGUCUAUCUCUGAGAAUCCUGGAAGCAUAAAGGUAGAUCCUGAGGGUAGAUAUGGGAAGGGAGUAAAGAACAAUGAGAUCAUUCCCUAAUAAUCCAACUUUCUCAGGGAGAAUUCGAACGAACACCUACCUGUCUAGGCAGGUACUAACCCAGUCACAGCUCAGAGCUCUAAUGCCAUUUCUCUCACUCUUAGAUUCAUGACAAGAAUCGCAGAAGCCUAGGAGAGGCUGAAGAUUACUAGCCUGACCUAUUAAUCCACACAUCCCCUGACCGUUCUCUUCAAUCAGGUGAAGAAAGGCCCUCUUCUUUCUGGCCACA